rnacentral:tRNA from 1 species
GGGCUCGUAGCGAAAUGGUAUCGCGCCUGCAUGGCAUGCAGGAGAUUUCGGGUUCGACUCCCGACGAGUCCAC